rnacentral:tRNA from 1 species
GGGCCGGUAGUUCAGCGGUAGAAUCGAAAGAUAUACUAUCCGCUUCGCAUGCGGAAAGAUCACUAUCCCAUAAGGUCGGGNGUUCAAUUCUCCUCCGGUCCA